rnacentral:rRNA from 1 species
GCUAGCGGCAGGCUUAACACAUGCAAGUCGAACGGUAACAGGAAAGAGCUUGCUUUUUUGCUGACGAGUGGCGCACGGGUGCGUAACGCGUAUACAAUCUACCUUUUACAGGGGGAUAGCCUUUAGAAAUGAAGAUUAAUACCCCAUAGUAUAUAUAGAUGGCAUCGUUUAUAUAUUAAAGAUUUAUUGGUAAAAGAUGAGUAUGCGUUCUAUUAGCUAGAUGGUGUGGUAACGGCACACCAUGGCAACGAUAGAUAGGGGCCCUGAGAGGGGGAUCCCCCACACUGGUACUGAGACACGGACCAGACUCCUACGGGAGGCAGCAGUGAGGAAUAUUGGACAAUGGGCGAGAGCCUGAUCCAGCCAUGCCGCGUGCAGGAAGACUGCCCUAUGGGUUGUAAACUGCUUUUAUACAGGAAGAAACACUCCCUCGUGAGGGAGCUUGACGGUACUGUAAGAAUAAGGAUCGGCUAACUCCGUGCCAGCAGCCGCGGUAAUACGGAGGAUCCAAGCGUUAUCCGGAAUCAUUGGGUUUAAAGGGUCCGUAGGUGGAUAAUUAAGUCAGAGGUGAAAUCCUGCAGCUCAACUGUAGAAUUGCCUUUGAUACUGGUUAUCUUGAGUUAUUAUGAAGUAGUUAGAAUAUGUAGUGUAGCGGUGAAAUGCAUAGAUAUUACAUAGAAUACCAAUUGCGAAGGCAGAUUACUAAUAAUCAACUGACACUGAUGGACGAAAGCGUGGGGAGCGAACAGGAUUAGAUACCCUGGUAGUCCACGCCGUAAACGAUGGAUACUAGCUGUUCGAUCUUCGGAUUGAGUGGCUAAGCGAAAGUGAUA